rnacentral:lncRNA from 1 species
UAACUUUCCUACUUAAUCUAUUACUAUAUAUAAAAGUAGAACCUUUAAUGAACCCUAUGUGAGAAGCUGACACGUGACUUUUUAUAUACUUGCCACGUGUUAAACUCAAAUAUAGAUAUUUGGUUACGAAUGGAUAUUUGGUUACGAAUUAUUUGAAAUUAUUGGUUUCUAUAUACUUGCCACGUGUUAAACUCAAAUAUGGAUAUUUGGUUACGAAUGGAUAUUUGGUUACGAAUUAUUUGAAAUUAUUGGUUUAAUUAAUUAUUUAAAAUUAUUGGUUGCGAACUACGCAAUAAUCUGUUGCGAAUUAUUUUUUCGCGGUGGAAAUAAUCUGUUGCAAACUCAAAUUUCGUAUUGGCAGAAAAUUAAUUAUUUAAAAUUAUUGGUUGCGAAAUAAGCAAUAAUCUGUUGCGAAUUAUUUAAAACAGUUAGUUGCGAAAAAAAGGGUCAAACUCAAAUUUCGUAUUGGCAGAUUUGGUUACGAAUUAUUUGAAAUUAUUGGUUUAAUUAAUUAUUUAAAAUUAUUGGUUGCGAAAUACGCAAUAAUCUGUUGCAAAUUAUUUUUUCGCGGUGGAAAUAAUCUGUUGCAAGCUCAAAUUUCGUAUUGGCAGAUAAUUAAUUAUUUAAAAUUAUUGAUUGCGAAAUAAGCAAUAAUCUGUUGCGAAUUAUUUGAAAUAGUUAGUUGCGAAAAAAAUGGUCAAACUCAAAUUUCGUAUUGGCAAAUAAUUAAUUAUUUAAAAUUAUUGGUUCCGAAAUCAAUAAUCUAACGGUCCAACUCAAAUUUCGUAUUGGCAGAUAACAGUCAAACUCAAAUUUCGUGUUGACAGAUAAUUAAUUAUUUAAAAUUGUUGGUUGCGAAAUAAGCAAUAAUCUGUUGCGAAUUAUUUGAAAUGGUCAAACUCAAAUUUCGUAUUGGCAGAUAAUUAAUUAUUUAAAAUUAUUGGUUGCGAAAUAAGCAACAAUCUGUUGCGAAUUAUUUGAAAUGGUUAGUUGCGAAAAAAAAGUCAAACUCAAAUUUCGUAUUACCAAAUAAUUAAUUAUUUAAAAUUAUUGGUUGCGAAAUACGCAAUAAUCUGUUGCGAAUUAUUUGAAAUGAUUGGUUGCGAAAAAAUCGGUAUAGAUGACCAAAGUAAAAACGAAAUGAUUGGCGGUUGCUUUGAAAUUGAAUUAUUUGAAAUGGUUAGUUGCGAAAAAAAUGGACAAACUCAAAUUUCGUAUUACCAGAUAAUUAAUUAUUUAAAAUUAUUGGUUGCGAAAUACGCAAUAAUCUGUUGCGAAUUAUUUGAAAUGAUUAGUUGCGAAAA